rnacentral:misc_RNA from 1 species
GCCGCGCAGGAGCCGCAGGUGGAGCGCAUCUUCGUCAACGCCGCGAUCAAGAAGGCGCUGUGCCGGGAAGCGAAGGGCGACCGGAGCUGGCUCUCGAAAGUGCGUCCGAUGUACGGACAUGACUAUCAUUUCNNNNNNNUGAAGUGUCCGGCAGGCAGCACGAAUUGUGAAGCGCAGACGCCGCCCGCUGACGGUGAAGG